rnacentral:lncRNA from 1 species
GUUUUCAGGAGUUACCCUUCCAUGUGGUAAGUUAGGAAACAGGGCUUCUCCCAUCUUUAAUUUCAAACAUCCCUGACCCUCUGAGUUCCUGCACUUACAGGAAAAGAAGUUGGAGAAGCUUGGGGAGUCCAUGAAUAUUUGGCUUGAUCAGUUCCUCUUGCAACGUAUAACUGAAGACAUUGUUACUUGUUUAUCUAACAACUUGAAACUCUGAUGAGGCCAGUUGUACCAGACUAAGCACUAGGACUCGCUUUGGACAGUUUAUUAAGUAAAGAGCCACCAGUUGAUGGGUUUCUGGUGAGUCCGAAGAAUGGUGUUGGUCAUGCAUUUCUGAAGGGCUUAGAUAUGGAAUCUGAUGAAUUUUCUGAAUUAAGGUUUUCCUCAAAUUUUCAGCCUAGUCCUUUGAGUCUAUGCAAGUUCCAAGGGCAGAAUUACUCAGACAUAAAAUACUGUACUUAAAAUGUUGUGCACGUUGUACGGUUUCUUGUUCAAUAAUUUUUUGCUUCUUUUUUUAAAGCUCAGUGGCCUUUAUUACUUAUGAACUGAGGAAGCCUAUUGUAUCUGAUGAGUUUGAUUGUCAUUCUCAGUCAAGACACUCAUGCUAGUUAGAACAAAGUAGGCAUUGUCGUACUGCACCCACUCUCCAAAAUUUCCCAAGCAUCAUAUAUAUGCGAUAUAUUAAGUAUAUGGGAGAGUUUUUCUUCUCAUGUAGCUUAUUUUUUUAUAUCAUAUUGUGUUUCAUAAAGUUUUAGUCAAUGUUGGUUAUCUUUAAUUGUAUUUUUUAACUGUUAGCAUUCAAAGAAGAGCCAUAAAAGUUAAAACAUAAAUACAGAGAUUUAUUUUUAAAUGGUCAAUCUGUUAUAUUAGUCAAAA